AUGUCCAAGAAGAUCGUGAUCAGAGCUGAUCUCAUCGGCGAGAAGUGCAAGAGCAAGAUCAUGUCAAUUGUUGCCAAGCUCGAGGGGAUCAAGUCCAUGGACAUUGACCAGGACAAGUGCACGCUUACGGUGGUAGGCACCCGUCGACCCGGUGCGCGUCGUGCAGAAGCUCAGGAAGUCGUGCUUCGCCGCGACCGUCGUCAGCAUGGACGACGACAAGCCCAAGGAGAAGAAGAGCCCCUGCUAGGAGGCCUGCGAGAAGGCCUGGAAGGAGAAGUGCGAGAAGGCUUGCAAGGAGCCGUGCUGCGACGACUGCGAGAAGGGGACACCGUCGUACCGCUGCACGCCGGGCUGCUACUCCAGCCCCUGCGGCCUGCCCAGCUGCCACUACUACAGCAAUGGCUACGGCUACGGCCCGCCGCCACUGGGAUACGCCUGCUAUGA
rnacentral:rRNA from 1 species